rnacentral:lncRNA from 13 species
UUAAAGGUAUCUGUGACCAACAGAUGCAUACCUGUAUUCCCAGUCAUGUGAAAUCCAUAGAUUAGGGCCUAAUGACUUUAUUUAAAUUGUCUGAUUUCCUCAUAUGAACUGUAACUCAGUAACAUCUUUGAAGUUGUUGCAUUGAUAUGUUUGUUCAGUAUUUAUUAUCAGGUGAAAUGAUCUGGGAUUGGGAUUUCUAUGAAUUCUGGGAUAGGGAUUGGGAUUUCUAUGAAUUCUGGGAUUGGGAUUGGGAUUUCCAUGAAUUCUGGGAUAGGGAUUGGGAUUUCCAUGAAUUCUGGGAUUGGGAUUUCCAUGAAUUCUGGGAUAGGGAUUUC